rnacentral:lncRNA from 1 species
AUGCUGGAAGCCAGUGGAUUUUCUGCUGCAAAAAGAGCCUUGAUAAUUGCCUGGAGCCUAAAUUAUGUGCAUUUGCUUUCAAGGAGACAGCAUGUGUGGAGAGUUAAGACAACAGAGGUUCUGUUGAGCUUGCCUUUGUUCUCGUUUGCAUCAAGUGUGAAGGACUGGAGGUUGGGACCUGUGGGUGAUGCUGAGUAAAGACUUUGAUAUGAAGAAAAGCUAAGAAAGGAAAAUUAAGGGAGAAAUCUGGAUCUCUGGGGCUUGGAACUCCUCCAUCUUCCGUGGGUGUCUGGGGGCAGGUCUGUGGCCCCUCAAACUCACUAUUGAACACUCUAGAGAAACCGCAGUUUCAACGUAGUUCCACCGUGAGUUCAACCAGCUCUCAAAUCCAUCUUAUGUCCAUCAUCGCUAAGUGAAGUACAGACCGGCCAGCUGUAUUUUCUACUUUUAAGCUGAGAAAUGUCAAGCUGGAAAACUCUGUUGUUUUAUCAACAAGACGACGGUUCCUUCAGAAUAAAAGCUGAACUCUAUGACCCAAUAAGGGGGGUCUCUACGUGACGCUGAAACCUGCCGUCGUACUGCGAUACUAUCCAUAGACUGGUUUGUCGUGCUGCCGAUGCUGUUUCACCAGUUCCAGCACAAGGAGGGUCCAAGGACCUGGCAUCCAGAUGUAACACGGAAGUCUCCGCACGGUACGUAGAUCGGCAUAGAUAGCGUCUCAUGUCUUCCUCCUGAAGUCCAUCGUCGGUCAGUUAGGGCAAACAACACCUCGCACUCAGACUCGCUUCCACCAGAUGGAGAUUCUGAACUGACACACACACACCAACACUUCAGCAUUACAUUCAUCUGCAUCCAUCAUUAGAGAGUUAGUCCUGGAGAUUGUUUCAAAUAAUUAUAAAAUAAAUAUUCUUAAACGUCCCAUCUCUCUCUCU